AAAUAGUAGUUGCUUCUAAUUAAGUUAAAGACUAUUUAAGGAAUGGCUUAGGCCUUACCCAAUUCUCCUAUCGCAUCGGUUCAGCGCUAACCAACAAAACAAUGAUCUCUAAAUCCCAUGAGACAUUUCAUUUACAGAUAAGAGCGUUUUCAUGGUGAAUUGAAACAUUAAGAUUAAGUUUUGUCGGCUUCGGCCUAUCUUAACCAUAACAUAGAGAAAAGUGGUUACUCUACAGACAAAUUCAAUUAAAACAAACUUACUGUUUUUCAUAAAAUUUUAAGGGAACAGUUAAAUUGCCUUUAAGAUGCAUUUUAGUUGGUUUUCGGUCACAUUAUAUGAGGCAGUUUUAGUAUUGACCUUAGGAAUACUAUUUUCAAGCAGAGAAGUGACGCAUAUCUGCUUUCAUCAUUGUCAAGUAGCACCAAUAAUUUUAAAGAAGAAGUAAUUCCUGUGAUAACCAGUCAGUGUGGUCCUUGCGUUGGUUUUCACGCCCUGAAGUGACGAUCGUGAUAAAGAUUAGCAGCCAAACUCACGAAAACCUCACAAACACUGCGUUGUUAUUUCAUAUUUUACCAAAGAAUUAACCAUAUCCUAUCUUCUAAAUUGCAACGUACACCUUUUCGUAGAAAAACAACCAAUUCGACAAUAUUUAUCAGCAAACGAAAACCAGCUUUAGCAAAAGGUCGUCGAUACAAAUACGGAAACAAAGAAAAGGAGUAAAUAAAGAUUGGAACUGGGACAAUAAUCCUUUCCUUAGACAGACAAAUGGUUCAAGUCAUUUAUUAGGCUGACCUAUCGGCUAAAAGACCUCUUCUCUUGAGAUGCAGCUGCUAUCAACGCUGAAGGGAUCUUGUCGAGAUUGACAGCGGUAAUGAAUUGAUCUAAUAGAUCUAAGUUUCAUCCGUUAGAAAAAGAACCAACGAAAAUUCAAAAUACCUGAACACAUGCUCAUGUGAAGAGGAUGCUGAAAAGAUACUUCAAUGGAACUUGAAUCUGUGGCUUUCACGUCAAAAUACUUUAAAUUCUCUUUACCUGAAAAUGUUGUUCAAUUUAAAGAUCUUUUAUUGAAGAUAUUUCUCAAAACAAAACGAAUCGAAAAACAUUACUUGCAGGUUAAGUUAGCAGAGUUGAAAAAGCUAUGAUAUGACGGGCAAGGGAAAAAUGAUGUGUCACAAAAACAGCCAUGAAGUAAAUCCAAUAUGAUACAUAGAGUACGAAAUGCAGACAUCCAAUGCAAUGAUUUUAAAGUGCAAGUUUAACUCAAGAUUCAUUGAUCUCAUUCACUCAAGAUUCUACUAUGACUUGCAAGAACAUGAUCAACAGUUGCAAUUAGACGACUCCUGUAACAUGAAAACUGCUAAACUCAUAAUAGUCUUAUGAAGUAUCAAUUUGCAUCUACUUAUUGAUGGCACUGAUCCCCUUGAAUUUGGCAUUAGGAUUGCCUGUGCUGCAGAACGUUCAUCGUAAGACACAGUUGAAUUAGAAUUCUUUAUUGAGUUUUUCAUAUCUAAAGUUUGUUGCAGUGCUGAUUAUUGCUUGAGUGUAGUUUUCAUUACUUUGCUGUUUUUCAGAAUCUCAUUCUAUUUCGUUGCAAGAAAAAGUUUAAUUGAUUUUAAAUAAUCAGAACUCUAUUAUCUUCCAAAAUGAUAGAUGUGUUAUAUGAAAUAAAAUGUCUUUGAGGCAUUGUAAGAUUAAUUCAAGUGUCUUAAGGUGAUUGCUUUGAGCUCAGAAAUGUAAGAGGCUUUCUGAUAUGGGCUGUUAUUUUAACAGGUUUAUGCACUAAGAUGUUACCUAUCAAUGAGUGAUUUCCCAUUGAACUGGUCUAUAUUGAAGUAAGAUACUUAACUUGUUUGCUUUGGAAAAAAUCGAAGUUUCUUUAAUUGUAGGAAACACAUGUCAUGAUGUCAUGAAUAAAAUUUUCAUCGUCACCCAUUCAUGGUAAAUCCAUUUAUAAACUUCGUGAACCAUUAAAUUUCAUAAAAACCGAAAUCAAUGCCGAACAGAAAGGAACAAUAUAUUAUACCCCACUUGCAGAGUCUGUGAACACUUUGUAACAAAAAAAUACCUACCCAGAACUUCUGUUUGUUUCCCUGUGCAACUAGUAAGCAACAAAUUGUACACCGCCUGCCUUCUGAGAACCUAUGAUCAUCAGAAAUAGGUACAAAGAUUCAUAUAUGUUAAAAAAUGCGGAAAAAUUACAUAGCAAUACAAAAAUCCUUACAACUGCUGGACUAUAAAAUUAAGC